rnacentral:tmRNA from 21 species
GGGGGUGUAUAGGUUUCGACUUGGGAAUGAAGUGUUAAUCGCAUGCGGAGGGCGUUGGCUGGCCUCCUAAAAAGCCGACAAAACAAUAAAUGCCGAACCUAAGGCUGAAUGCGAAAUUAUCAGUUUCUCUGAACUCUCUGAGCAAAGAUUAGCUGCUUAAUUAGCAAAAGUUGUUAUUUAGAUAACCUCUAGAUAACCCGGUCCUCAUGGACUCUACCAGAGGUUUGUGAAGUACCGUCAUCUAUCUGGUUGGAAUCUACCUCCUCUAAUUCUCAGGGGGGUUGAUUCGAGAUUAUUGAGAGUCGUUGGUUUCCAUAGAUGUUCUUAGCUGAGGAAAUGCAAUGUAGUACCACUAGGGACUAAGCAUGUAGAAGUUAGCAGGGAAUUCACUAAGGACGAGAGUUCGAGUCUCUCCACCUCCAUAC